GUUUGAUCCUGGCUCAGAUUGAACGCUGGCAGUAUGCUUAACACAUGCAAGUCGAACGGUAACAGCGGAAGCUUGCUUCUGGCUGACGAGUGGCGGACGGGUGAGUAACGCGUAGGAAUCUGCCUGGUAGUGGGGGACAACCUGGGGAAACUCAGGCUAAAACCGCAUACGCCUUACGGGGGAAAGUGGGGGACCUUCGGGCCUCACGCUAUCAGAUGAGCCUGCGUUGGAUUAGCUAGUUGGUAAGGUAACGGCUUACCAAGGCAACGAUCCAUAGCUGUUCUGAGAGGAAGAUCAGCCACACUGGGACUGAGACACGGCCCAGACUCCUACGGGAGGCAGCAGUGGGGAAUAUUGGACAAUGGGGGCAACCCUGAUCCAGCAAUACCACGUGUGUGAAGAAGGCCUGCGGGUUGUAAAGCACUUUCAAUUGGGAAGAAAAGGCUAGUGUUAAUAGCGCUGGUUCUUGACGUUACCUUUAGAAGAAGCACCGGCUAACUCCGUGCCAGCAGCCGCGGUAAUACGGAGGGUGCAAGCGUUAAUCGGAAUUACUGGGCGUAAAGCGCGCGUAGGCGGUUUGUUAAGUCAGAAGUGAAAGCCCUGGGCUCAACCUGGGAAUUGCUUGUGAUACUGGCAGGCUAGAGUAUGGUAGAGGGUGGUGGAAUUCCAGGUGUAGCGGUGAAAUGCGUAGAGAUCUGGAGGAACAUCAGUGGCGAAGGCGGCCACCUGGACCAAUACUGACGCUGAGGUGCGAAAGCGUGGGUAGCAAACAGGAUUAGAUACCCUGGUAGUCCACGCUGUAAACGAUGUCAACUAGCCGUUGGGUUCAUAAAAGAGCUUAGUGGCGCAGCUAACGCGAUAAGUUGACCGCCUGGGGAGUACGGCCGCAAGGUUAAAACUCAAAGGAAUUGACGGGGGCCCGCACAACCGGUGGACCAUGUGGUUUAAUUCAAUGCAACGCGAAAAAACCUUACCAGUCCUUUGAAAUCCUUGGA
rnacentral:rRNA from 1 species